rnacentral:rRNA from 1 species
UACGUAGGGCGCAAGCGUUGUCCGGAAUUAUUGGGCGUAAAGAGCUCGUAGGCGGCUUGUCGCGUCGUCCGUGAAAACCUGGGGCUCAACCCCAGGCUUGCGGUCGAUACGGGCAGGCUGGAGUUCGGUAGGGGAGACUGGAAUUCCUGGUGUAGCGGUGAAAUGCGCAGAUAUCAGGAGGAACACCGGUGGCGAAGGCGGGUCUCUGGGCCGAUACUGACGCUGAGGAGCGAAAGCGUGGGGAGCGAACAGG